rnacentral:tRNA from 1 species
UAAAAGUUAGUUUAAUUUUAAAAUUUAGGUUUGUGACUCCUUAGAUAAUCUAUGAUUACUUUUAC